rnacentral:rRNA from 1 species
UCAGGACGAACGCUGGCGGCGUGCUUAACACAUGCAAGUCGAGCGAUGAAGCUCCUUCGGGAGUGGAUUAGCGGCGGACGGGUGAGUAACACGUGGGUAACCUGCCUCAUAGAGGGGAAUAGCCUUUCGAAAGGAAGAUUAAUACCGCAUAUGGUAGCUUUAUCGCAUGGUAGUGCUAUUAAAGGAGUAAUCCGCUAUGAGAUGGACCCGCGUCGCAUUAGCUAGUUGGUGAGGUAACGGCUCACCAAGGCGACGAUGCGUAGCCGACCUGAGAGGGUGAUCGGCCACAUUGGGACUGAGACACGGCCCAGACUCCUACGGGAGGCAGCAGUGGGGAAUAUUGCACAAUGGGGGAAACCCUGAUGCAGCAACGCCGCGUGAGUGAUGACGGCCUUCGGGUUGUAAAACUCUGUCUUUGGGGACGAUAAUGACGGUACCCAAGGAGGAAGCCACGGCUAACUACGUGCCAGCAGCCGCGGUAAUACGUAGGUGGCAAGCGUUGUCCGGAUUUACUGGGCGUAAAGGGAGCGUAGGUGGAUAUUUAAGUGGGAUGUGAAAUACUCGGGCUUAACCUGGGUGCUGCAUUCCAAACUGGAUAUCUAGAGUGCA